rnacentral:lncRNA from 1 species
UAUGGAAAUAAUGACAUGCAUACUCAAUCUUUGAUCUCUUUUACCCACCUAUCAUAUGCCAUCUUGAUGAUCCACAUAAGAAUAAGAAAAAAGAAGAGAGAACCAAUAAUGCAAACGGCUAAGGCGAGAACUGGUGUGUCGGAUAAGACCACAUACGUCCCUGCAAUAAAUGUCAACAUCAUCCCAAUAAUAGAAAGAAUGUUGAGGACGGUUGAUGAAGCAUUUAGCAGUGACACUUGGUGGGGAUCUUCAUUCAUUGAUUCGAGGAAGUAGAAAAACAGUGAAGAUGUUGACAUUAGUAGAGCUAAUGCAUCCGAUAACAUGAAUGCAUUAAAAGCUCUCUUUCUGGACAAAACCACCAGUCCUUCA